CCUACGGGUGGCAGCAGUGGGGAAUAUUGGACAAUGGGCGAAAGCCUGAUCCAGCCAUGCCGCGUGUGUGAAGAAGGCCUUCGGGUUGUAAAGCACUUUCAGUGGGGAAGAAAGCCUUGGGGCUAAUACCCUCGAGGAAGUACAUCACCCACAGAAGAAGCACCGGCUAACUCCGUGCCAGCAGCCGCGGUAAUACGGAGGGUGCGAGCGUUAAUCGGAAUUACUGGGCGUAAAGCGCGCGUAGGCGGUCUGAUAAGCCGGUUGUGAAAGCCCCGGGCUCAACCUGGGAACGGCAUCCGGAACUGUCAGGCUAGAGUGCAGGAGAGGAAGGUAGAAUUCCCGGUGUAGCGGUGAAAUGCGUAGAGAUCGGGAGGAAUACCAGUGGCGAAGGCGGCCUUCUGGACUGACACUGACGCUGAGGUGCGAAAGCGUGGGUAGCAAACAGGAUUAGAUACCCGAGUAGUC
rnacentral:rRNA from 1 species